AGCUCAUGAUUGGGCAUAAAGAGCGCGUAGGCGGACAUUUAAGUCAGGGGUGAAAUCCCAGAGCUCAACUCUGGAACUGCCUUUGAUACUGGGUGUCUUGAGUGUGAGAGAGGUAUGUGGAACUCCGAGUGUAGAGGUGAAAUUCGUAGAUAUUCGGAAGAACACCAGUGGCGAAGGCGACAUACUGGCUCAUUACUGACGCUGAGGCGCGAAAGCGUGGGGAGCAAACAGGAUUAGAUACCCUGGUAGUCCACGCCGUAAACGAUGAUUGCUAGUUGUCGGGCUGCAUGCAGUUCGGUGACGCAGCUAACGCAUUAAGCAAUCCGCCUGGGGAGUACGGUCGCAAGAUUAAAACUCAAAGAAAUUGACGG
rnacentral:rRNA from 1 species